CCAGGCAGCGUGUUUUGCCUAAACAUGGAGCCAGAAUGCAGUGGCUGCUGAAUCUCACUGAGCUCUUCCCUGGGUUUGCUGCAGAUUAAUGAGCAGAUGGAGAGGAAAGGAAAAGGCAGCCAUGCAGGUCCUAUGACAAUAAAAAUGAUAUUACCUGGAAAUGAGGAAAUCUGCCACUUUCUUUGGGGAAAUCCAGUAUUUUCAAUUUUAGCUCUCCACCUCCAAAAUAGAAAACAGUGUUCUGAAGAUCACUACUAAAAAUAUGCUGAAAGACAAUGUAUUGCAAUACAAGCCAGCAGCAGAAGGUGCAACAUAUGCUGCAACAACUGCAGAAUGCCAGUGAUCUGAACUGUACAGUGGACUCUCUUCAAAACACAAGAUUUG